rnacentral:rRNA from 1 species
GACGAACGCUGGCGGCGUGCCUAAUACAUGCAAGUCGAACGCAGUGGGGACGGGUGAGUAACACGUGGGUAACCUCCCAUCAGAGGGGAGAACACUUGGAAACAGGUGCUAAACUGAUACUGAUGGAUGGACGCGCGGUGCAUUAGCUAGUUGGGGGGGUAACGGCUCACCAAGGCCACGAUGCCUAGCCGACCUGAGAGUGGGAUCGGCCACACUGGGACUGAGACACGGCCCAGACUCCUACGGGAGGCAGCAGUGGGGAAUCUUCGUCAAUGGACGAAAGUCUGACCGAGCAACGCCGCGUGAGUGAAGAAGGUUUUCGGAUCGUAAAGCUCUGUUGUUAGAGAAGCGGUAUCUAACCAGAAAGCCACGGCUAACUACGUGCCAGCAGCCGCGGUAAUUC